rnacentral:tRNA from 1 species
AUGGCCGAGUGGUUAAGGCGUUGGACUUAAGAUCCAAUGGAUGUAUAUCCGCGUGGGUUCAAACCCCACU